CCUACGGGAGGCAGCAGUGAGGAAUAUUGGUCAAUGGACGAGAGUCUGAACCAGCCAAGUAGCGUGAAGGAUGACUGCCCUAUGGGUUGUAAACUUCUUUUAUAUGGGAAUAAAACGUUCCACGUGUGGGAUUUUGUAUGUACCAUAUGAAUAAGGAUCGGCUAAAUCCGUGCCAGCAGCCGCGGUAAUACGGAGGAUCCGAGCGUUAUCCGGAUUUAUUGGGUUUAAAGGGAGCGUAGGUGGAUUGUUAAGUCAGUUGUGAAAGUUUGCGGCUCAACCGUAAAAUUGCAGUUGAAUCUGGCAGUCUUGAGUACAGUAGAGGUGGGCGGAAUUCGUGGUGUAGCGGUGAAAUGCUUAGAUAUCACGAAGAACUCCGAUUGCGGAGGCAGUUCACUGGACUGCAACUGACACUGAGGCUCGAAAGUGUGGGUAUCAAACAGGAUUAGAUACCCCUGUAGUC
rnacentral:rRNA from 1 species